CUGCUGUUUGGCUUUUGGGAUAAAAGUCCGAAUCACUUGUCCUCAUGUGACUGAGGUUUUGAUAUGAAAAGCCUUAAAUACCGGUACUUAAGAAAACAGCCUGGGAGUGCAAUCCGGAUCGAAAAGCAAGUUUCUGCUGGUUGGUCCUUGACUUCACUAUCUCACGCAAGUGCUGGUGUAUUCACUGAAGUUCCCUUGCAGCUGCCCCGUGAUAGGCGGGGUGGGGUGACCCACAGGAAGCAAUGGUGACUACACAGAGCUAACGGUGAUUGUCCCACUACUCUUCAGAUCAGAUCAGACUCUUCGGUGGAAAUGGUUUUAAGGAAUGAUGGUCAGGAGGAGCUCUCACCUCCCAUCUGGUGCAGUUCUAGAGGGACGCAAAGAAUAAAUGGAAUCUGAACCAGAGAAAUUGAAGGAAAGGAGAGGGAAGAAGUGGCUGGCUAGAGGAAUCAUAUAGAGUCCUCUUCUCCUGGUCAAUGGCUCUGUUGUGUAUAUUCAUGUGCAGAAGGCAUCUCCGCACACCCUGGCUUCACCCUGACCUGAUUUGAGAAGGAAACUAGAAAACUUGAUGAUCCCUAAAGCCUGUGUUAAUACACCGGAAGGAGCAACUGCAUGGUUUGGCCCGAAUCCUCCACAGAAACACAUCAUCCAAGUAGACCAAACAGACCCCCUGAAGACCUUCCUGAAGGGGGAGCCCCAAACCCUGGGGGUGGCGCAGAUCCUGAUUGGUCUGAUGAAAGUGUGCCUAUUUGCCAUAGUUCUUCGUAUCGGGAGCUGUGUCUAUUGCUGCUGGGAGAAGGAUGACAUUAAACCUGGGAGGAAGAGCAUGAGACAGAGGGACGUAGGGGACACAGAUCAUUCUCUUCCAGAUCAAAGGCAGCCUGGGAAUGAACAUACUCAGUGCCGUGGUUGGGGGAAUAGGGGUAAUCAUCUUAACAGUAGAACUGGCUGUGGAUCAUGGAUCGGAAAAAAGGUGUCUUAUUCUUGUAAGUGUUCCUGAGCUGCUUUUAUUUUCUGAAGUGAUAUUUAUAUCAUCUAACUGUAUGUUAGUCUGAGAUGACUGUCUCUCAGUUGAUCCUGGCUUAUCACCACAAGCAGUAAGAUCCGGGACUUUGAUCUCACGGGGAGAAGUUUCAGCCCCUUUUUGCAAGGGCCUACCAGGACAGCUACCUUUUUUUCUCACAUUCUUCACUGAACACAGCGAUGUUAGGAAAUUGAUCAUUGGGAUCUUUCUUCAAAGUCUCCAGGUUUGAGUUCAGAUGGCAGCGGGCUGCCGUGCUGGCUCAGCAAGCUUGGUGUCAUUUGCGGGUGGGGUGAGGAGAGUCAGGGUUCCAAGCCGAGAUCCUCAGAGCCUCGAGGUAUAUCUAUGUCUAAGGAAAGAACAUCGAUAUCACUUUCGUGGACCUGGAGGUUCUCCACUCUUUGGGUGAGAAAAAAGUAUAAAUUCAUUUAGGGAGGUUAUUAUAAGGGAAAUAACUUGAAGCGGACAACAGAGAACAUUUCUAAGCCAAGAGAACUAAGGAAACACAUCUGACUUAAUCUGAAUUUCCCUGCACUUACGAAGUUCCAGAGUAGAACUCCUCUCGGCCAUUUUAGGAUUUUCUUUUCAAUUUUUCUUUUUUUUGGUUUGUUAUAGAGAGAACAUGCCUGUUUCGAUAGUGGAGAACGAGUCAGAUUGGAAUCAGAGAAUACAGGGCCAGGGGAAGUAUCCAUCUAUUAAUUGUUUUCCUUUCCUUUUUCCUCUUCUCUCUCCUCGCGGCAUCUGCUUCUCUUUAGAGGGUAUUCGAGACUGUGAUAUUAGUCCUCUCCCUGCUGGAAGUCAGCAUCACUAUCUCUCUUUCUGUGUUUGGGUGCAAGGUGACCUGCUUUGUCACACAGGUAAGUGGUCAGGGCCUGAGGGAGGGUUCACAUUUGUCAUGUGAUACUGAGUCUGUGUUCCCCGUGCCUCUCACUGUGUCUCUUCUCCCUGAACCAAUGAGAAGCCUAAAGCAGCAGCGUGAAGGAAAGAUAGUUGAGCAUGUGACUCCUUCCUGAACUUGGAGAGAACAGCGGAACACAGGGAGAGCUAUGGCAGAUGUUUCCGGAAGCCUCCUCGGUCUUGCUGGAUAUUGAUGUUUAUCUAGUGGGGCUGUAAGGACGUGAAGGAAGGGAUUUUAACUCUCAGGUCCCAGGACACAGAAAAGAAGUAGGGCCCCCCAGGAUGAGUUGAAUCCCUCUGGCUGGAAGAGUAUGUGGAUAACAAUAAUAUUAUUCCCAAUCUUCACAGGUGGUGGUUAUCCAGCCAACCAAUGACCAGGUGCCUCCAGUAAAGGCCCCUUAUGAACAUGUCUAUGAGGAUCUGGAGUUUUAACAGAAGAGUUCCUGCUUUUAGAAAAAAUUAUUCAUUGAGCAUCACUAGGUCAAUAAUAACCUGCCUGCCAGAAAGGGUUCACAUCUGUGCGUGGGAACAUAGUUAUUACAAAACCAAAUAAAAUACAUUUUCCCUCUAUUGAUGUUGAUUGU
ensembl:lncRNA membrane-spanning 4-domains subfamily A member 4A-like